UGUUAUCACUGAUUACGCUGGCCAUUAGGUAGAUAAGGUAAAUAUGCCGAUCAUCACUGUGUGUAGUAUCAGCGGGGUGCUUGAAGUUGGAGGGCGACUAAAUAUUUUACAGGGCUGGUUUCCUCAUGAGAAACGCCUGUUCAUGGACAAGAUGGUCUCAUACGGACUGGAUUACCUGGGCGUCCAUCGAUCGACAUCCCUAAACACCAAGUCAAACAACUAUGGGAAAUAGGAUUCAACUGGCGGUCAAUUGCUUCUAUGAUUGGUGUCAGUGAGAGGACUUUGCGGAAUCGUCGCAGUGAAGCUUCAUUUGAAUCAUCUAAACUUGAGUAUUCUACUAUAACUGAUGAUGAAUUAGAUGAAGAACUUGGACGCAUUCGUCUGAUAAGCCAACGAUGUGGAGAUACACUUAUGAUUGGUGCUCUGCGACAACGAGGUAUUCGAGUCCAGAGAUCAAGAAUAAGAGAAAGCCUAACAAGAAUUGACCCAGUUGGUUGAGCUUUGAGGCGCCGGCGUGUGAUAUACCACAGAAUAUACACUGUUCCUUCACCACAAUAUAUAUGGCACAUCGAUGGAAAUCACAAACUGAUUGAUCCCUGGGGUUUUGUGAUCCAUGGUGGUAUAGAUGGUUAUUCCCGGCUGUGUGUGUAUCUCCAUUGUUCGACUAGCAAUCGUGCUGCACCAGUGUGUGAUCUUUUCAAAGGAGCAGUUUCGUCGUAUGGAUGUCCCCUUCGUGUGAGAGCUGACUAUGGUAUGGAGAAUAUUGAAGUGGCAAGAUAUAUGCUGAAGACUCGUGGGCUGAAUAGGGGCAGUUUUUUAACUGGUCUCUCUACCCAUAACCAGCGGAUUGAAAGACUAUGGCUUGAUGUGAAAGAGGAUGUAACUUGUAUUUUUAGUGACAUUUUCUUUUAUAUGGAAAAUUCUGGUAUCGCUGACCGAUACAACAAAGUUCAUGUUGCAGCUAUGCGUUAUGUUUAUUCUCCUAGAAUAAAUCGUGCUUUAAAAGAAUUUGUAGGUCAAUGGAACAAUCACCCUAUCCGAACAUGCAAAAAUCGAAGUCCAAAUAUGAUGUGGAUCGAAGCUAUGAUGCGAAAUCCCAACCUUUUGGAGUUGGACGAUAGCAACAUUGAGUUAAAUGAUGAUGAUGCGUCUCUGCCUGACUUGCAGACUAAUAACAAUGUCCAAGUGCCUGAUAUAUCUCUCAGUCUUUCAGAUGAAGUAUGGUCCAGAUUGCAGGAAUUGGUGGAUCCCCUUGCUGAUGAUCAGUGUGAAGGCAUUGGCCUUUUCUUAGAAGCAGCUCAAUUUCUUGGACAGUAUGCUAGACUAGAUAACUAGGUAUUUCAGUUAGGUCCAUUUAUCAUACAAUACAUGUAGAUGUAUACCUGCAGCCUAGCAGACAUUCUUCUGACAUAUUCUAUUCUGUGGCUUAAUUUGGCACUAUGUUUACAAUGAGAUGCAAGAUUUAUGCCAUCAACUUACUGUCAUCAAUAAUAUAAUAGCGGCCACUAUGUGCGUUUGGUGACCUUGGCUUUAAAGGCAUACGCUGUUCAUUGAAAGGUUUGAUUUUGAAAAUUUCCAAUUGCGACAAAAGGUUCUAAAUUAAGCUUCAACAUUACCGUUGUGUAGACUGAUCUACAAAUACCAUUUAUAAAUACCAAGUUUCAGCAAGUUCAUAAUAACUGCACUACGGCAUUGUGUAUAAGUGGAUUUCUAUUCAACUUGCACUACGGCAUUGUGUAUAAGUGGAUUUCUAUUCAACUGGAUCACAUUUAAAUUGAACUGGGUAUAAAGGAGAUUAAAGUGUUUAUACAUGUCAUCAGCCAAGGAGUUCGUGUUCUCCUUGUGACGUGAAAAAAAAUCGCAGGACUCGGUAUGAAUAAGGGACUGAAGGCAGAAUUGGGGUCCAAGGACAAAUUGGUCGUGUUCAUGUGAAUGUCAUUGAGGGACUACUUGGUUGUGUAUGUAUAAGCAUGAAUUGGUGGGUGACUGUAAAUCAAGAAAUCAAGAAAUAAUGAAAUCUUGUAAAAUGAGAAAUGUAAAACGAAAAUUGAGUAACUUUACUGUAGAUAAUCAAGUUUGAUAUAAAACAGCUAUAUCACGCUGCAUCAUUUUAAAGUGCUACAUGUAUCUUCUCGACAACAAAAUAUUUUGGCAAGAUAUCCCUUUAAAUGACACAAAUGAUGUCAGCCUAGUCAAACGCCACCUAUAGCAGGAAGCUCACAGUAUUAUAAUUAUACUAUAACUUCCCAAAAAGAGACCACUGUAAAUGAUAAAGCGCGGGGCUUAGUCAAGCGCCAUCUAUAGCAGAAAGCUUGGAGCAUCAUUGACUUCUUGAUUUACAGUCACCCACACGAAUGCUAACCAGCCUGGUAACAGCCUUCUCAAAUGUCAAACCAUGAA